rnacentral:rRNA from 1 species
GACGAACGCUGGCGGCGUGCUUAACACAUGCAAGUCGAACGCUGAAGCUCAGCUUUUGUUGGGUGGAUGAGUGGCGAACGGGUGAGUAACACGUGAGUAACCUGCCUCCUUCUUUGGGAUAACGCCCGGAAACGGGUGCUAAUACUGGAUAUUCACUGGUCUUCGCAUGGGGGUUGGUGGAAAGGGUUUUUCUGGUGGGGGAUGGGCUCGCGGCCUAUCGGCUUGUUGGUGGGGUGAUGGCCUACCAAGGCUUUGACGGGUAGCCGGCCUGAGCGGGCGACCGGGAACAGUGAGACUGAGAUACGGCCCAGACUCCGACGGGGGGCAGCAGUGGGGAAUAAUGGACAAUGGGCGAAAGCCUGAUGCAGCGACGCCGCGUGAGGGAUGGAGGCCUUCGGGUUGUGAACCCCUUUCGCUAAUGGUCAAGCCGCAACAAUGGUUGUGGUGAGGGUAGUGGGUAAAGAAGCGCCGGCUAACUACGUG